AUCGCUUCUUGGCCUUUUGGCUAAGAUCAAGUGUAGUGUCUGUUCUUAUCAGUUUAAUCAUAAUCCUGAACAUUUGUAUAGUAUUUAUUAUUAUUAUUAUUAUUUUGACAUGGAGUCUCACUCUGUUGCCCAGGCUGGAGUGUAAUGGAACGGCCU
ensembl:snRNA U2 U2 spliceosomal RNA